UACGAGUGCUUCAAGCGUUAUCCGGAAUCAUUGGGCGUAAAGGGUGUGUAGGCGGUUAUGUUAGUCUUCUGUUAAAUCUUUCGGCUCAACCGAGAGUCCGCAGGGGAAACGGCAUGACUAAGAGGUUGGAAGAGGUCUCUGGAACUCAUGGUGUAGCGGUGAAAUGCGUUGAUAUCAUGGGGAACACCAAAAGCGAAGGCAAGAGACUGGUCCAUACCUGACGCUGAAACACGAAAGCGUGGGUCGCGAAUGGG
rnacentral:rRNA from 1 species